rnacentral:tRNA from 1 species
GCUGAUGUGGCUCAGUGGUAGAGCAGCGCACUCGUAAUGCGCAGGUCGGGAGUUCGAAUCUCCCCAUCAGCU